rnacentral:rRNA from 1 species
AUACGGAUGGUGCGAGCGUUGUUCGGAAUUACUGGGCGUAAAGGGCGCGUAGGCGGCGAUGUAAGUCAAAUGUGGAAGUCCUCGGCUUAACCGGGGAAGUGCAUCUGAAACUGCAUUGCUUGAGUAUGGGAGAGGAAAGUGGAAUUCCCGGUGUAGAGGUGAAAUUCGUAGAGAUCGGGAGGAAUACCGGUGGCGAAGGCGACUUUCUGGACCAAUACUGACGCUGAGGCGCGAAAGCGUGGGGAGCAAACAGGAUUAGAAACCCUAGUAGUCC